rnacentral:rRNA from 1 species
CAAAAAGUAAGUAAGGGCACAUGGCGGAUGCCUUGGCUCUCGGAGGCGAUGAAGGACGUGAUAAGCUGCGAUAAGCUGCGGGUAGGUGCAAAUGACCUUUGAUCCGCGGAUUUCCGAAUGGGACAACCCGGUACUUUGAAGAAGUAUCAUCCUGCAUUGCAGGAGGCUAACGCAGGGAACUGAAACAUCUUAGUACCUGCAGGAAAAGAAAAUAAACAAUGAUUCCCCCAGUAGUGGCGAGCGAACGGGGAAUAGCCCAAACCAUCCAUGUUACGGCAUGGGUGGGGUUGUAGGACCACGCCGUGGCAAGAAAGUUGGUGAGCAGAAUGUUCUGGAAAGUACAGCCAUAGAGCAUGAGAGCUGCGUAUGCGAAGCCAAGCGAAGCCUAGUGGUAUCCUGAGUAGCGCGGAGCACGAGGAAUUCUGCGUGAAUCUGCCGGGACCAUCCGGUAAGGCUAAAUACUCCCGAGAGACCGAUAGUGAACCAGUACUGUGAAGGAAAGGUGAAAAGCACUUCGAACAGAAGAGUGAAAUAGUUCCUGAAACCAUGUGCCUACAAGCGGUCGGAGCACCUUCUGGUGUGACGGCGUGCCUUUUGCAUAAUGAACCUACGAGUUACUUUUUCCGGCGAGGUUAAGGAUUUCAGAUCUGCAGCCGAAGCGAAAGCGAGUCUGAACAGGGCGUAUAGUCGGAAGGAGUAGACGCGAAACCAAGUGAUCUACCCUUGGGCAGGUUGAAGGAUGGGUAACACCAUCUGGAGGACCGAACCAAUAAGCGUUGAAAAGCUUCUGGAUGACCUGAGGGUGGGGGUGAAAGGCUAAUCAAACUUGGAGAUAGCUCGUACUCCCCGAAAUGCAUUUAGGUGCAGCCUUGACUUAUACUGGCAUGAGGUAGAGCGACUGAUAAGAUGCGAGGGCUUCACCGCCUAUCAAGUCUUGACAAACUCCGAAUGCGUGUCAGUUCUAUGUCAGGAGUGAGGGCAUGGGUGCUAAGGUCCAUGUCCUAAAGGAGAACAAUCCGGACCAACAGCUAAGGUCCCGAAAUGAAUACUAAGUUGAACUAACGAAGUCAGAUUGCUAAGACAGCUAGGAUGUUGGCUUGGAAGCAGCCAUUCAUUUAAAGAGUGCGUAACAGCUCACUAGUCGAGGAGUUUGGCGUGGAUAAUAAUCGGGCAUAAGUAUUCUACCGAAGCUUUGGGAUGAGAAAUCAUCGGUAGGGGAGCAUUCCACUCGGCGUCGAAGGUGAGGCGCGAGCUUUGCUGGAGCGUGUGGAAAAGCAAAUGUAGGUAUAAGUAACGAUAAAGGGGGUGGGAAACCCCCUCGCCGAAAGACUAAGGUUUCCUGAUCAACGCUAAUCGGAUCAGGGUAAGUCGGGUCCUAAGGCUCAGCCGAACGGCGAGGCCGAUGGCAGAACCGGUUAAUAUUCCGGUACUACCUGUGGGAGUGACGUGGAGACGGAGUCGUGACAGCGCCGCGGACUGACGGAAUAGUCCGUUGAAGGGUGUAGAUGCUGAUUGUUCCAGGCAAAUCCGGAGCAAGAGUCGAACCUGAUAGUAUGGAGCGUUCUUAGAACAAUCCAAUAGUGCGUGUAAUCAUACUUCCAAGAAAAUCCGCUAAACUUAAUCCUGCAGGUACCCGUACCGCAAACGGACACACGUAGUCGGGUUGAAUAUACUAAGGCGCUUGAGUGAUUCACGGUUAAGGAACUAGGCAAACUGACCCUGUAACUUCGGGAUAAAGGGUCCUCGCUUAACGGCGAGGCGCAGAGAAUAGGUCCAGGCAACUGUUUAACAAAAACACAGGGCUGUGCAAAAUUGAAAGAUGAAGUAUACAGCCUGACACCUGCCCGGUGCUGGAAGGUUAAGAGGAGAUGUCAUCGCAAGAGAAGCAUUGAAUUGAAGCCCCAGUAAACGGCGGCCGUAACUAUAACGGUCCUAAGGUAGCGAAAUUCCUUGUCGGGUAAGUUCCGACCUGCACGAAUGGUGUAAUGAUCUGGACGCUGUCUCAACCGUGAGCUCAGUGAAAUUGUAGUAUCGGUGAAGAUGCCGAUUACCCGCGAUGGGACGAAAAGACCCCGUGAACCUUUACUAUAGCUUAACAUUGAAUUUGGGUAAUUGAUGUGUAGGAUAGGCCGGAGGCUUCGAAGCNUGCGGGGACACUGUUUGGUGGGUAGUUUGACUGGGGUGGUCGCCUCCAAAAGUGUAACGGAGGCUUCUAAAGGUGCCCUCACGACGAUUGGUAACCGUCGGCAGAGUGUAAUGGCAUAAGGGCGCUUGACUGGGAGACUUACAAGUCGAUCAGGUAGGAAACUAGAGCAUAGUGAUCCGGUGUUUCUGUAUGGAAAGGACAUCGCUCAAAGGAUAAAAGGUACUCCGGGGAUAACAGGCUGAUCCCUCCCAAGAGCUCAUAUCGACGGAGGGGUUUGGCACCUCGAUGUCGGCUCGUCACAUCCUGGGGCUGGAGAAGGUCCCAAGGGUUGGGCUGUUCGCCCAUUAAAGUGGCACGCGAGCUGGGUUCAGAACGUCGUGAGACAGUUCGGUCUCUAUCUAUCGUGGGCGCAUGAAAUUUGCGUGGCUCUGACACUAGUACGAGAGGACCGUGUUGGACUGACCUCUGGUUUACCGGUUGUGCCGCCAGGUGCAUUGCCGGGUAUCUAAGUCGGGAUUGGAUAAGUGCUGAAAGCAUCUAAGUACGAAGCCAGCCACAAGAUUAGAUUUCUCAGGGUCGUUGUAGACUACGACGUUGAUAGGAUGCAGGUGUACAGGCAGCGAUGUCAUAGCCGAGCAUUACUAAUUGCCCGUCCACUUUUUGCC